AGAAGAGUAGAUAUAACAAAAAUUUAAAAGUGAAGUGAUAAAAAAUUUCAACUGCAAGAUGGAUAAUGAUACUGCACUUAAAGAUUGAAUUCGUUUUUAACAAAUAAAAAAAAUCGAUAUUGUUUUAAGCGCAUGGAUUUAUGUGGACAAGCGAGGAGGUAAAUUAAUGUGCAGAUUUAUGCCACUACCAUACGAUAGACAAAAAUGUAAAAUUUUAUCAAAAAUGACUAAAAAUUGUGACAAUCCAAAAAGUGAUUAGCCAAGUUACUUUAUUGAGCUUCGUGGAACUGCAAUUAUUGUCCCUGGUAAAUACACGUCAAGAUCUGCAAGAAAUUGUGGAAGCAUAAUGCGGUAUUAUAUUUUGGAGAGAUUUGGUACUGAAAUUCACGCCUGUGAAGCCAACUGAAGGAAAGCCUAAAGUAUUUAAAACUACAAUUUUUUAUAAAUUAAUAGAAGGCAUACUUACUAAAAAGUCUUUGAAAUCGACAGAU